CAGCCGCCGCGGGAAUACGAAGGGGGCUAGCGUUGUUCGGAAUUACUGGGCGUAAAGCGCACGUAGGCGGAUCGAUCAGUCAGGGGUGAAAUCCCAGGGCUCAACCCUGGAACUGCCUUUGAUACUGUCGAUCUGGAGUAUGGAAGAGGUGAGUGGAAUUCCGAGUGUAGAGGUGAAAUUCGUAGAUAUUCGGAGGAACACCAGUGGCGAAGGCGGCUCACUGGUCCAUUACUGACGCUGAGGUGCGAAAGCGUGGGGAGCAAACAGGAUUAGAUACCCGUGUAGUCCCUGUCUCUUAUAC
rnacentral:rRNA from 1 species